CGUGACGAGUCUUCGGUUGUGUUACGGCGGUGAAGCGGUGUUGCGUCUGUCCUUGGCGGGCAUGUAGUGGUGGACUGCGGUGUGGAGGGAGAGGUGGAUGUGGGUAUGGCCUGGUGGUGGAUAGGGAGGAGUGGAUAGUGGAAGAGAGAUGUGGUGAGUAGGAUGGUGGAAGGGGGAUGUGGAGGUGGCUAUGGCGGACGUGGUGUUUGGUGUGGUUGGAAUGGUUGUAGAGGGUGUUGAUAGUGAUGGUGAACGUGACUGGCUUGUGGUAAAGGUGGUUGUGGUUGUUGGGGAUGGUGGUGCUUGCGUAACAGUGGUGGGGGUAGCGGACGUAACGGUGUUGUGGUUGUUGGGUGUGGUUGAGAGGUUACGGUGGUGAUGGUGGUGGCAGGUGGUGGUGGUUGUAGUUGGAGCGGGGUAAGUGGUGGUGGUGGUGUUGUAAAAAAGGUAUUUAUCGGGCGGAGUGGAAGUGGUGGUGGUGGUGGUGAUACUACGAUUGUCAGGGAUGAGAGAGAGUGUGUGUGUGUGUGUGUGCGUGUGUGUAUACACUCUUGUAACUAGCAAACUGCAGUCACUCGUUCGCUUGUUUCACCUCCCUGCUUCAGGCCUUCCUUCUCUCCCCUCCCCCGCUCCCUUCCUAGCCUGCCCGCCACCCUCUCCCCGCUCUUUCUUGCCAACUCUCCCCCGCUCCUCGUGUCCCAGACAGGCCCACUGGAAGCUAUCAGUCUGCUGCGGCACGUGGCAAGAACUAAGUGUUGAGGAGCACACAUUGUCCCUUCACCAGUCAGCAGGUCUGGGGGGCUCGGAAGUCUCACUACUAACUGGAGACCCGUUCUCUUGGACACAGUUGGAGUCGGACACAAGAUUCAAGAGGAAGUCAUUUUAACGAGAGCUUCAGCUGGAAGUUGACCUGAGCAAUGUAGGGUUUGCUGCUGUGAGAUUGAUUACCAAGGCACAAGUGUCCGGGAUUUAAAGAUGAUGGAAAUGUGUCCUGUGUGCUGCUGUGCUGGGAGGAGAGGAACAGCAGCAGUGGUGAGGCUCUCUCGUUGGCGCUGGUGGCGAGCGGACGUGCCUGGACGAGCUCUGCUACUACUCAUUAUACCACCUACGAUAUAUAUUUAGCCAGCCAGUUUUAUAUACUGGCUGCUCCAGGUAUGUUUCUACUCUGACCUGCAAACCAUGAAAUAAGUACAACACAGUGAAGACCUAUAGAAAAUCAAGAUUUUCAAUUCUACCCUUCCGUUAUGAUUUGAACUAAAACUCUGUCGUCAUUGUAACGACUGUCAUCAACCCACUCGUUCUUCCUAUCUGCUUUCCCACUGCUACUACGUGUGUUUCCAAUUUACUGCCGUAGUGCCCUGCCCACAGCAAGAAUGGCUAAUACAAGAAAGCAACUGGGCCAGGCAACCGGAAAACCUACAAAACAACCAAAUGCUGCACCUGAGACGGAGCAGGAACUACCGCCACCGCCCGCCACACCAACCAUGACAGCUCCCGCCAGUCAAGCCGAGGUUACCACAGUUUCCAGCCAAGACACCCUUGCCUCUGAUGUGCCCAGUGACAUUCUAAGCCUCAUCGGAAACGAGCUCACCCAUAUUUCUGAGGAAGGUAAAGUGAUAAUACGUACUAUAGUGAAAGCCACACAACUAAUGAUCAAUCAUAAGGAUAAAAAAAUAACUGCACUGCAAAAUGACAUCACAAAGCUUGAAAACAGAGUUGUGCAGCUUGAAAACCAGAUAGAUGAGGUAAACCAGUAUGAAAGAAGAGAUACCUUAAUUAUCAGUGGACCCGUAUUGCCUCCUGAAAACUCUAAUGAAAAUAGUGCUGAAGUAAUAAUAAGAGUCAUUAAAGACAACCUUCACCUCAAUGUAACCCCUUCAGAUAUAAAUGUGGCGCAUCGCUUAGGUGCUAAGCGAGCACAAAACAUAACUAGGCCAAUUAUUGUUAAGCUACACAGUAGACAAAAGAAAGCAGAAAUAAUGAAUGCCUGUAUAACGGUUAGACCAAAACUUUAUAUCAAUGAGAGCCUCACAGCUAAACGCCGAUCACUCUUCAAGAUAAUAUGGGAAAUCAGGAAACAACACAGGGAUAUGUUCCAACAAUGUUACACUCAAGAAGGAAAGAUUUGUGUUAAACUUAAAAUAUCAACUCAAAAGCAUAUCAUAACAACAUAUGAGACCUUGAAUGAAUUCCUAGAUAAGUACCCAAUACUUAAGCAACCCACAACCUAGGAACAUCAAAAUCAAGUACUACAAGGCAAAUAUUUCCUACUGAUAUGUGACAAUCAUUUGUAUGUUAUAUUAUGUAUGUAUGUAUGCAUGACUUAUCAAUGUUCUUUCCUACUCACUCAACUUUCAUCACUUCUAUUUAAGUCUACCCUGAUCUUUUUUACUUACACUAACCCUUUUCCUUUCUAUUAUUCACUUCUUCUCCCUCUACUCAUCCUAACCCUGUUCCUUCGCCCCAACCUGUUUCCUUCCUACACAUCCUGACCCUCUUUUUUCUACUCUUCCCAACUCUGUUUCUUUUCUACUCAUUUUAACCCUAUUCUUUUCUACACUCCCCAACUCCUACCCUGUUCCUCUCUACUCUUCAUAAUCCUGUUUCUUUCUGCUCUCUCCAACCCUGUUCUACUCUAUUCUCUCCAACCCUGUUCCAAUCAUGUUUCAUUUGCUCAUUCUAACCCCGUUUCUCACUACUCACUACUACUCACUACUACUCACUACUCACUACUACUCACUACUACUCACUAAUCACUACUACUCACUACUCACUCCAAUACUGUUCAUAUUUACUCAUUCCAACACUGUUCCUGACUACUCACUCUAAACCUGUUUCUAUCUGCUGACUCCAUUCCUGUUCUAGCCAUUCCUUACCUCAACUUUAUUCCUUUCUCCAACUACCAUAUCUUACCAUUGCUUCAUAUGAAUUCUCUACCAAUUACUAGUUUUGAUAACACGGUCUUGAUUUAUUUAGUUUCCUUUCACUUGAUUCCUAUAGUAUUCACUGAGAUAUCUUGUCCAAUAUAAUAGAUUUAUAAAAGCUGCACCUGGAGAGCCAUGAACUAAGUCUUGAUUUUAGUAAAUCUUUCUUAUUACAUUUUGCUGUCUGAGUUUAUUUAUAUUUUAUUUAUUUAUUUAUUUAUUUAUUUAUUUAUUUUUUUAGCCAUACUGUACAAUAUACAUAUUAUGGAAAAUUUAUAUAAAUCACUUUAUAGUGAUAGCAUCCAUGAUACAAAUACAUCUGCAUCUACUUUUGAUAUUAACGUAAUAAGCAAAAUAAAUGGACAAUCAGACAUUGGCUCUCUGUCUAGAUACUACAAUAUUAAUGAGUACAUCUCUGAAGUAAAAUAUAAAGAUGAUGAAUACAUUAACAUCGUACACAUGAACAUUAGAUCAAUCCAUAAGAACUUUGAUGUAUUCAAAACAUUCCUAAAUAGUCUCCCAAAGCCUCCAGAUGUUAUUGCACUCACCGAAACUUGGUUACGAGAUUCUUCAAAACACUUGUAUUCUCUUGAUGGUUAUGUCUCACAUAAUCUCGUGAGAACAAAUAGAGAACAUGGUGGCAUAACAAUCUUUAUUAAGGAUAUUUUUUCUUUUGAAUUAAUCGAAGAAUACUGCUUUAUAAAUGAUGAUAUAGAAAUCUGUACAGUUAAAGUCAAAAUAAUAAAUACCUCAUAUGUUAUGUCAGUUGUCUACAGGCCCCAUAGUAAGCAUUUAGCAGUUAAUGAAUUCACAACUAUUAUCAGUCAGAUAUUAUCAAAUGACAUAUUCAGAUGUAGUAAAAGUAUCCUACUUGAUCUUAAUAUCAACCUUCUAGAACACUCAACUCAUCUUCCUACAAAUACUUUUCUUAAUUCAAUGCAAGCCCUAAAUUAUUUUCCCCAUAUUUCUCGCCCAACAAGAUUCCCAGACAAUCCUGAUCUUGGUCAACCCUCCUUACUUGAUCAGAUCUGGACAAACUUUACUCACCAUCUUCUUCUGGCAUCAUCCAUUUCAACCUGUCUGAUCAUUUGCCUAUAUUUAUUAAUAUAACUUUAAAUUUUACUUUAGACUAUAAACAUAAAAUCACCUUUAGAAUAUUCAAUGGUACUAAUCAUAACCUUUUUACAAAUGAAUUAUCUAAAGUAGACUGGGAUGAGAUCUUAUCUUCUCACAAUACAAAUGAAAACUUUAAUGCCUUUCAUGAUAAGAUCAAUACAUUAUAUAAUGAAUGCUUCCCUAUGAAAACAAAAUUCAUUUCUACUAAAAGACUACAAAACCCUUGGAUCUCUAGUGGUUUACUUAAUUCUAUAAAGUAUAAAUGUACGCUUUUUAAAAACUAUAAAUUGGGUUUGGUAUCACAUUCCUUUUAUAAAAACUACCGUAAUCAUGUUACAAAACUUGUUAAAGAUGCAAAGUCUAACUAUUAUCAAAAUUUUUUUUGUAAUUUCAGAAAUGAUACCAAAAAAAUAUGGAAAACAAUAAAUCAGAUUAGAAAUACUUCUAACUUGAAGCACGACAAAACAACCCUACAGUAUAAUAACUCAACUUUAGAUAAGCCCCUUGACAUAGCUGAGGCGUUUAAUAACUACUUUUGCAGCAUUGCCCCAGAACUAAGUGAUAAACUACCUAACUCUCACAUAAACCCAACCCAUUAUCUAAAAGCUAAUUUUCAAAAUUCUAUGCUGUUGCCUGCAAUAUCUACUUAUGAUACCAUAAAUAUUAUAAAAUCACUAAAAAAUAAAAACUAGUGUAAAUGAGAUUUCAGUUAAAGUACUAUAAAACAUAAUUCUGAUAUAUUUUCCAUACCGUUGACCACCCUCUUUAACCAUUCUAUCUCAACAGGGACUUUCCCUUAUAUAUUAAAAAAAGCUAGAGUCAUUCCUAUCCCGAAAACUGGCCCGAGUAAUUAUCCUAAAAACUACCGCCCUAUAUCAAACCUCAGUAUUUUCUCAAAAAUCUUUGAAUCCCUGAUGAAAAAUUUCCUGAUAAGCUAUCUAGAAAAAAAUAAGAUCCUAAAUCAAACACAAUUUGGAUUUAGACGCAAUCAUAACACUUUCCAAGCACUAAAUCUCUUUUCUUCAGACAUUUACUCAGCUCUCGACAACAAGCUAUCAGUCCU